rnacentral:lncRNA from 1 species
UUUUACAAGAUAAAAGAACAAAAUCUUGUGAUUUUUUUCAGGGUUCCUUUGGGAAAUCUCAAAGAUAUUUUUGCUUGAAAAAGACAUCCUGAAAAAUGUGGCUUAUUUGUUUGUUUGUUUCUAAAUUAAGAGUUUGGUCUUGGGAAGGCAAAAAGUAAGAGCGCAGUCAGAGUAAUCUUGGUCAGUUGACUAAGCUCAGAUCAUGGGAGCCUGAGAACAACAGCCUGCAACUGGACCCACACCAAGGUCUCCUUUCAAUGGUUUCAUUUUUAAAAAGCUUCUACACAAUUAAUCACCACACUCACCAUGAGCAUACGCAUAAGGACCUUGAAAGAAGGUAGAAAAGAAUUGAAAGAAACACAAACAGUGGGAGACAAUGGAGAGGGAUGCUUCUGGGACCAAUCGUGUGGCAUUGAGAGAUUCAUUCCUGCAUGUAGUUAACUUGGGAUCCUUUGAUGGCCUGACGUCAGUAGAUUUUGCAUGUGCAUUGACGUAAGUAUUGCAUUUCAUAUCAAGAUGCCAAGUUCAACAAAUAAAAAUUAGUUUCAGUGGGUUCAGCAUCAUAUUUGAACUGAAAAAUAAAUAAAUGAAUAGUCCAAGAAAAG